CUAGCGUUGUUCGGAAUCACUGGGCGUAAAGGGCGCGUAGGCGGCCUGGCAAGUCGGUUGGUGAAAGCCCGGGGCUCAACCCCGGAGGUGCGCCCGAAACUGCUUGGCUUGAGUACCGGAGAGGAUGGCGGAAUUCCCCAAGUAGAGGUGAAAUUCGUAGAUAUGGGGAGGAACACCGGUGGCGAAGGCGGCCAUCUGGACGGAUACUGACGCUGAGACGCGAAAGCGUGGGUAGCAAACAGG
rnacentral:rRNA from 1 species